rnacentral:tRNA from 2 species
GGAGGAUAAAGUGAUCUGGUGGCGCUCACGGACUUCAAAUCCGAUGGCGGGGCGGUUGACCGUCUUGCGGGGAGUUCGAUUCUCUCAUCCUCUCGCCA